AUUGAACGCUGGCGGCAGGCUUAACACAUGCAAGUCGAACGAGCGGCGGACGGGUGAGUAAUGCCUGGGAAUCUGCCUGGUGGUGGGGGAUAACUUCCGGAAACGGUAGCUAAUACCGCAUACUAUCGGAUGAGCCUAGAUCGGAUUAGCUAGUAGGUGGGGUAAAGGCUCACCUAGGCGACGAUCCCUAGCUGGUCUGAGAGGAUGACCAGGCAAACGGGGACUGGGACAAGGUCCAGACUCCUACGGGGGGCAAGAGUGGGGAAUAUGGCACAAUGGGCGCAAGCCUGGUGCAGCCAUGCCGGGGUGAUGAAAGAGGCCUCCGGGUUGGAAAGUCCUUUCAGCGGGGAGGCGGUACCCGCAGAAGAAGCACCGGCUUACUCCGGGCCAGCAGCCGCGGUAAUAC
rnacentral:rRNA from 1 species